AUUGAACGCUGGCGGCAGGCCUAACACAUGCAAGUCGAACGAUAACAGGAAACAGCUUGCUGUUUCGCUGACGAGUGGCGGACGGGUGAGUAAUGUCUGGGAAACUGCCUGAUGGAGGGGGAUAACUACUGGAAACGGUAGCUAAUACCGCAUAACGUCGCAAGACCAAAGAGGGGGACCUUCGGGCCUCUUGCCAUCGGAUGUGCCCAGAUGGGAUUAGCUAGUAGGUGGGGUAACGGCUCACCUAGGCGACGAUCCCUAGCUGGUCUGAGAGGAUGACCAGCCACACUGGAGCUGAGACACGGUCCAGACUCCUACGGGAGGCAGCAGUGGGGAAUAUUGCACAAUGGGCGCAAGCCUGAUGCAGCCAUGCCGCGUGUAUGAAGAAGGCCUUCGGGUUGUAAAGUACUUUCAGCGGGGAUGAAGGGAGUAAAGUUAAUACCUUUGCUCAUUGACGUUACCCGCAGAAGAAGCACCGGCUAACUCCGUG
rnacentral:rRNA from 1 species